rnacentral:rRNA from 1 species
GUGUCAGCAGCCGCGGUAAUACGGAGGGUGCAAGCGUUAGUCGGAAUUACUGGGCGUAAAGGGUGCGUAGGCGGGGAUGUAAGUUAGAUGUGAAAUACCGUAGCUCAACUACGGCCGUGCAUCUAAAACUGCGUUUCUAGAGGGAAAGCGGAGAAAACGGAAUUCCAUGUGUAGCGGUGAAAUGCGUAGAUAUAUGGAAGAACACCUGUGGCGAAAGCGGUUUUCUAGCUAUACCCUGACGCUGAGGCACGAAAGCAAGGGGAGCAAACAGGAUUAGAUACCCUGGUAGUCCUUGCCUUAAACUAUGUAUACUUGGUGUAAUUGGGCUCAACCCUGAUUGUACCGUAGCGAACGCGUUAAGUAUACCGCCUGGGGAGUACGCUCGCAAGGGUAAA